UACGAAAGGUCCAAGCGUUACUCGGAAUUACUGGGCGUAAAGCGCGCGUAGGCGGUCUUGUAUGUCGAUUGUGAAAGCCCCGGGCUCAACCUGGGAACUGCAGUCGAAACUGCAAGACUUGAAUGUUGGAGAGGUUGGGGGAAUACCUAGUGGAGAAGUGAAAUUCGUAGAGAUUAGGUGGAACACCAGAGGCGAAGGCGCCUGACUGGCCAAACAUUGACGCUGAGGCGCGAAAAGCGUGGGUAGCAAACAGG
rnacentral:rRNA from 1 species